rnacentral:rRNA from 1 species
ACACUCCUGCGGGAGGCAGCAGUGGGGAAUAUUGGACAAUGGGCGCAAGCCUGAUCCAGCCAUGCCGCGUGAGUGAUGAAGGCCCUAGGGUUGUAAAGCUCUUUAACCGGUGAAGAUAAUGACGGUAACCGGAGAAGAAGCCCCGGCUAACUUCGUGCCAGCAGCCGCGGUAAUACGAAGGGGGCUAGCGUUGUUCGGAUUUACUGGGCGUAAAGCGCACGUAGGCGGACUAUUAAGUCAGGGGUGAAAUCCCGGGGCUCAACCCCGGAACUGCCUUUGAUACUGGUAGUCGUGAGUGCGAGGGAGGUGAGUUGAAUUCCGAGUGUAUAGGUGAAAUUCGUAGAUAUUCGGAGGAACACCAGUGGCGAAGGCGGCUCACUGGCUCGAUACUGACGCUGAGGUGCGAAAGCGUGGGGAGCAAACAGGAUUAGAAACCCUGGUAGUCCC